CGAACCCAGUGCCUCAUGCAUGCUAGUCAAGCACUGUACCACUGAGCCACAACCUCAGCCCCUUCACGCGCCCUUUUAUGCUUUACAUUUGGUGCUGAAACCUGGGAGGAGUUCGAGCCUCUUCUCAGCCCUUUCUCCCCCAACCCUUAGGGUCUGAGGCUGCUCCUCUCCACUGAAGGAACCAGCCAAAGGAACGACUGGAUCCCUAGACCACUUGCCCUCAUCAGAUCCAGCAGAGUGGGGAUGGAUUGAGGCUUUCCCAACCUCUCAAAAGACAACAAACACCGUGGCCUUAGUCCUCAUUGAGCAGAUCAUCCCAGGUUCGGCCUUCCAAUGUUCAUCCAGUCAGACAAUGGCCCUGCCUUCACUUCUCAGAUAAUCAACAGGUCUCAGAAAGCCUCAGCAUCUCCUGGAAACUUCACAUUCCUUACAGGCUGCAGUCCUAGGGUCCCCCGACCUGAAAGACGCUGCCUAAUCCCUACUGCUGGCGUUUCCAGCUACAGGAGACCUGGGAUGGUAAGACCCAGACAUUAGGAACUGGCGAUUGCCAACAUGCUGGUUGCCAGACAGUUGUCUCCAUUCUACUAACCAGCCUCAGUCUUUCCGGCCAAGCAUCCUUCCUCUGCCUCCUCUGUGACCAAACCAAGCGGUACUGCAAGUCCCGACCAGAUAUUUACGGAGGAUGCCCUCACACUUCCUGCAAUAUGCACAAGCUCAGAGAGACCACCCAAACCCAAUUCCUAUAUGCCUAUUCUGGAGGUAGGACCUAUCUGAACAUCAGAGAUCCCUGAGACAAUUGCUGGGCAGCAGGAGUAGAGAGAAAGCUGUACAUAUGGCCCUGGGACAUUUCCCCCUCCGGAACUCUUAAGAGUUUCCACACCUACGCUUGAGUGAUUCCUCAGCUCCACCAAUAAAUCCUCCAGAAAAAAACUGCCCUCAUUCACCACUAGGGGCACACGAGGCAGAGAAGGGAGACCAUUUUUAUUUCUGGCCCUUGUACAAUGUCAGAGGUUACAACUCCUAAACUACUCCAGUGUCAAUAAUAUUUCUGAUUGUUUUCUGUGUGCUGCUCUAAAUCACCCCCUUUAACGGCAGUCCCUCUGACCUUUCCUCUUAACAUCUUCCUCUGCCUCUGACGGGGAUCCCCCUCUUUGACAAUCCCCCGCAGCACCAGCAAAAUCUUUCCAUCUGCUAUGCCUCCCAAACUGUCUCCAGAUGCAACUGACUAUUAUGGUGUCCUCCCAAGUCCCAGCACCCCCAGGAAUUUUCUUUUGGUGAGACAUUGAUGAAAGUCAUCAACUCCUCCUUUCUGUACCCCUGUCACCCCAGUUCCUCAACUUACAUUCUCUGGACAGGCUGAGUUUCUCUCAUUGAGCCUGCCUCCACCCACUAGAUCUAAACGGGCUGCCUUUCUUCCAGUGAUCAUAGGCAUAUUCCUCUUGCCUCAUCUCUGGCUGCCUCAGGUAUCGGGGCCAGGGCAUCAGGCAAUAGCUUAACCACAACUGAAGAGCUUGAAGAAAAAUUACAGCUAGUGAUUGAAGCCUCUGCCAACUUUCUGGCAUCUCUCCCAAGACAAAUAACAUCGCUCCAAAACAGGCAGGUCCUAGACCUACUCGUUGAUGACAAAGUGGUACCUGUUUGUUCCUCAGGGAAGAAUGUUGCUCUGACAUCAAUGAGACCAGCCUAGUAGAAGAAAACAUCGAUGUGCUACAACAGCUGAGUGAAGAACUGAAACGAAGGCAGCAGCAGUCUACCUCAUUCCUCCUGGGAUGGUAUAACUCAGCCCUCGCUGCUUGGUUGGGUCUGAUUGUUGGCCUCAUCCUUAUGACCUGUGUCUUGCUAAUGAUUGCUCCUUGUCUUAGAUUUAUCCAAAACCGCAUCAGCAAAGUCUCAUGGGUGGCAGUUAUUCAGAUGCUCCUCCACCCCUACAGCCACCUUCCCAAUAAGCCCCCAACUCUUGACCUUCCCUAGACAAUGCCCCCCUACCAGCAGGAAGUAGCCAGAUUAGAACCACACCCUAUAACAUCAAAGAGGUCGGGAUGUCCAGCCAGCAGCUUUCCCUUCAUUUUCCCUUCCCCUUUCCCCUCCCCAUCCCAUGGUGGCCAUAGGCAGGGACUUUUCACCUGGCUGAAGAGACCUGGGCCUUAAACUUGCCCCUAAACUCUGCUUGGCCAACCCGCUAACAGUAGUAACAAUUUAGUUGGUCUAGGCCCUCCUACCUCUAGUGACCUAUAUAGAUAUUGUUUUCGCCUCCGGCUCGUGCGACUUCCCCAGCCGUCACCCUUUCAUGGACGGGUGAAACUCGCCCCAGAGCAUCCCCCCUUCCCAAUAAAACUCCUUUUGAUAUCUUA